CGAGUUAGGGUCCUCACAGGCCCGACCUCCCAACCCAUUGUUUAUGAUACUCAGUGUUGCUUCGGCAGGCCUGGUCUUUGACCUGCCGGAGGGCCGUAACACGCCCCCCGGAGUGCGCCUGCCGACGGCCCCAACUUCAAAAUUCUUAACUAAAACAUGUCUUUGUCUAAGUAAAGUCUUUAAUAAAAGCAAAACUUUCAACAACGGAUCUCUUGGUUCUGGCAUCGA
rnacentral:misc_RNA from 1 species